rnacentral:misc_RNA from 1 species
GAACGCACAUUGCGCCCGCUGGUACUCCGGCGGGCACGCCUGUCCGAGCGUCAUUUCAACCCUCAGUACCCGCCCUCACGGGCGCGGGACUGGUGUUGGGGCCCGGCCGCCAUCACCGGCGGCCGUCCCCUAAAUUCAGUGGCGGUCACGCCGCAAUCCCUUGCGUAGUAACACACCUCGCACCGGAGAGCGACACGGUCCACGCCGUGAAACCCCCAAUUUUCAAUGGUUGACCUCGGAUCAGGUGGGAAUACCCGCUGAACUUAAG